rnacentral:rRNA from 1 species
UACGGAGGGCGCGAGCGUUAAUCGGAAUUACUGGGCGUAAAGCGCGCGUAUGCUGUUGUGUAAGAUGGGGGUGAAAUCCCACGGCUCAACCGUGGAACAGCCCUUGAUACUGCGCGACUUGAAUCCGGGAGAGGGUGGCGGAAUUCCAGGUGUAGGAGUGAAAUCCGUAGAUAUCUGGAGGAACAUCAGUGGCGAAGGCGGCCACCUGGACCGGUAUUGACGCUGAGGCGCGAAAGCGUGGGGAGCAAACAGG